rnacentral:lncRNA from 1 species
GAGACGAAGAUAUCAAAUCGUGUUAGGAAAGAUGUGCCAGGAAUAAGGGACCUUUUCUAGCAAGAAAAGUGAGAUUUUAAGCAAGUACUCAACAUUCUGGUUGGGAGGAGAAAGAGAAGUGACGAGGGGGAAGAGACCUAGUUACAUCAAGUUGUAAGGAAUCAAGGAUAAAUUAGGAAAAUAGAAAAAAUAAUAUGCAAAGGUAAAAAUGGUAAGUUGUAUGAGGGUAGUUUUGCCUUUUCUAUCAUAAUAAAUUAGGAGACGAAAAUAUCAAAUCGUGUUAGGAAAUAUGCGUCAGGAAUAAGGAUCCUGUUUUAGUAAGAAAAUUGAGGAUUAAGCAUUUUAAGCAAGUACUCGAUAUUCUAGUUGGGAGGAAAAAGAGAAGCGACGAAGGGGGGAGACCUAGUUACAUCAAGUUGCAAAGAACCAAGGAUAAAUUAGGAAACUAGAAAAGAUAAUAUGCAAGGGUAAAAAUGGUAAGUUGUACGAGGGUAGUUUUGUCUUUUCCAUCAUAAUAAAUUAGGAGAAGAAGAUAUCAAAUCUUGUUAGGAAAGAUGUGCUAUGAAUAAGGAACCCUCUAUAGUAAGAAAAUUGAGAUUUUAAGCAAGUACUCAAUAUUCUGUUGGGAGGAGAAAGAGACGCGACGAGGGGAGAGAGACCCAGUUAUAUCAAGUUGUAAGGAACCAAGGAUAUAUUAGGAAAAUAGAAAAAAUAAUAUGCAAGGGUAAAAAUGGUAAGUUGUACGAGGGUAGCUUUGCCUUUUCAAUCAUAAUAAAUUAGGAGACGAAGAUAUUAUCUUUUCAAUCAUAAUAAAUCGUGUUAGGAAACAUGGGUCAGGAAUAAGGAUCCCUUUCUAGUAAGAAAAUUGAGUAUUAAGCAUUUUAAGCAAGUACUCGAUAUUCUAGUUGGGUCGAGAAAGAGAAACGACGAAGGGGGGAGACCUAGUUACAACAAGUUGCAAAGAACUAAGGAUAAAUUAGGAAACUUGAAAAGAUAAUAUGCAGGGGUAAAAAUUGUAAGUCGUAAGAUGGUAGUUUUGUCUUUUCCAUCACAAUAAAUUAGGACACGAAGAUAUCAAAUCGUGUUAGGAAAGAUGUGUCAGGAAUAACGAACCCUUUCUAGUAAGAAAAUUGAGAUUUUAAGCAAGUACUCAAUAUUCUGGUUGGGAGGAGAAAGAGAAGCGACAAGGGGGGGAGACCCAGUUACAUCAAAUUGUAAGGAACCAAGGAUAUAUUAGGAAAAUAGAAAAAAUAAUAUGCAAGGGUAAAAAUGGUAA